AACGCACAUUGCGCCCCUCGGUAUUCCGGGGGGCAUGCCUGUUCGAGCGUCAUUGCACCCCUCAAGCGUAGCUUGGUAUUGGGCCUUCGUCCCCCCGGACGUGCCCGAAGACGAGUGGCGGUCCCGACGUGGUCUCAAGCGUAGUAAAUCUUCGCCGCUUUGGAGGUCUGCGCCGGGGUUAGCCAAAACCCCCCUAUUUUUCAAUGAUUGACCUCGGAUCAGGUAGGGAUACCCGCUGAACUUAA
rnacentral:misc_RNA from 1 species